AACAGGAUUGAACAAUGUUUUGCUGCCCACGUUGUUCACACUUGUCAACAAUAUUGAACAAUAUUGAACAAUGUUGUUGAGCCUUAAUCGGGUGUAACAAUAUUGUUCAAUAUUGUUGACAACUAUGAACAAUGUGGGCAGCAAAGCAUUGUUCAAUCCUGUU